GAUGAACGCUGGCGGCGUGCCUAAUACAUGCAAGUCGAGCGAACUGAUUAGAAGCCUGCUUCUAUGACGUUAGCGGCGGACGGGUGAGUAACACGUGGGCAACCUGCCUGUAAGACUGGGAUAACGUAGGGAAACCGAAGCUAAUACCGGAUAGGAUCUUCUCCUUCAUGGGAGAUGAGUGAAAGAGGGUUUCGGCUAUCACUUACAGAUGGGCCCGCGGUGCAUUAGCUAGUUGGUGAGGUAACGGCUCACCAAGGCAACGAUGCAUAGCCGACCUGAGAGGGUGAUCGGCCACACUGGGACUGAGACACGGCCCAGACUCCUACGGGAGGCAGAAGUAGGGAAUCUUCCGCAAUGGACGAAAGUCUGACGGGGCAACGCCGCGUGAGUGAUGAAGGCUUUCGGGUCGUAAAACUCUGUUGUUAGGGAAGAACAAGUACGAGAGUAACUGCUCGUACCUUGACGGUACCUAACCAGAAAGCCACGGCUACCUACGUGCCAGCAGCCGCAGUAACAC
rnacentral:rRNA from 1 species